UAGGCCGGAGUUCCGGAAACUUUCCCUUCCGCUCUCUCCCCCUUUCUUUUCCUUUCUUUCCUUGUUUAGACGGGUACUCUUUUUCCUUUUACGGUUUUUCCCUCUGGGUUUUCCGUAAAAAGGUUUUAAUGAGGCUCGGCCCUUAGUCUGCUUUCUUGUGCUCUCAAGGGUUUUAGGUUUUCUUUUUUUUCCUUUCUUAAUAAAUUUGCAUUUUAAUAAU
rnacentral:lncRNA from 1 species